rnacentral:rRNA from 1 species
UACGGAGGAUCCAAGCGUUAUCCGGAAUCAUUGGGUUUAAAGGGUCCGUAGGCGGUUUUAUAAGUCAGUGGUGAAAUCCGGUAGCUCAACUAUCGAACGGCCAUUGAUACUGUAGAACUUGAAUUAUUGUGAAGUAACUAGAAUAUGUAGUGUAGCGGUGAAAUGCUUAGAUAUUACAUGGAAUACCAAUUGCGAAGGCAGGUUACUAACAAUACAUUGACGCUGAUGGACGAAAAGCGUGGGGGAGCGAACAGG